GCCGUGAGUAGUCUAAUUUAGGAUCGAUGGUUGUGGCCUAUCGGGUGCUUGUGCCUCCGGCA
rnacentral:tRNA from 1 species